AAUGAACGCUGGCGGCAGGCCUAACACAUGCAAGUCGAGCGGACGAAGGGGGCUUGUUCCCGGAUGCAGCGGCGGACGGGCGGGUAAUGCCCAGGAAUCUGCCCGGUCUAUGGGGAUGAGGUACGGAAACGGGCGCUAAUAUCGUACCCGUUCAGAUGUAGAAAGUGGGGGUUCUUUGGACCUAACGCUAUCUGAUGAGCCUAGGUCGGAUUAGCUAGUUGGUGAGGUAAAGGCCUACCAAGGCGACGAUCCGUAACUGAUCUGAGAGGAUGAUCAGCCACACUGGAACUGAGACACGGUCCAGACUCCUACGGGAGGCAGCAGUAGGGAAUAUUGCGCAAUGGGCGAAAGCCUGAUGCAGCAAUGCCGCGUGAGUGAUGAAGGUCUUCGGAUUGUAAAGCACUUUAAGUUGGGAGGAAGAAAAGUAUAUUUAUACCUGGCUGUUUUGACGGUACCAACAGAGUAAGCACCGGCUAACUACGUG
rnacentral:rRNA from 1 species